rnacentral:rRNA from 1 species
GACGAACGCUGGCGGCGUGCUUAACACAUGCAAGUCGAACGAAGUGGCGAACGGGUGAGUAACGCGUAAUCAACCUGCCCUUCAGAGGGGGACAACAGUUAGAAACGACUGCUAAUACCGCAUACUGAAGGCGGGGAUUGCGUCUGAUUAGCUAGUUGGAGGGGUAACGGCCCACCAAGGCGAUGAUCAGUAAAGGGUCUGAAAGGAUGAACAGCCACAUUGGUACUGAGACAAGGCCCAGACCCCUACGGUGACCAGUAGUGGGGAACCUGUCGCAAAUGAGGCAAGUCUGACGGAGCAACGCCGACUGAGUGAUGACGGCCUCCGGGUUGUAAAGCUCUGUUAAUCGGGAUUCGGUAACGGAAUAGAAAGCCACGGCUAACUACGUGCCAGGCGCCGCGGUAAUAC